AGUGAACGCUGGCGGUAGGCCUAACACAUGCAAGUCGAACGGCAGCACAGUAAGAGCUUGCUCUUACGGGUGGCGAGUGGCGGACGGGUGAGGAAUACAUCGGAAUCUACUUUUUCGUGGGGGAUAACGUAGGGAAACUUACGCUAAUACCGCAUACGACCUACGGGUGAAAGCAGGGGAUCUUCGGACCUUGCGCGAUUGAAUGAGCCGAUGUCGGAUUAGCUAGUUGGCGGGGUAAAGGCCCACCAAGGCGACGAUCCGUAGCUGGUCUGAGAGGAUGAUCAGCCACACUGGAACUGAGACACGGUCCAAACUCCUACGGGAGCCAGCAGUGGGGAAUAUUGGACAAUGGGCGCAAGCCUGCUCCAGCCAUACCGCGUGGGUGAAGAAGGCCUUCGGGUUGUAAAGCCCUUUUGUUGGGAAAGAAAAGCAGCAGGUUAAUACCCCGCUGUUCUGACGGUACCCAAAGAAUAAGCACCGGCUAACUUCGUG
rnacentral:rRNA from 1 species